CAGAACUGCUUGUAGUUCUUAAAACAAAUUUUCAUAAUAUUUGAAAUUUUCAUAAUACAAUGUUGGGGAAAAAAAGAUUCCAGUCAACAGAAAUCCCAGUUCCUCAUCCACUGUGCUGUGCAGAGGGACCUGCAACCAAGGCUGCUGCCUGCUCCCUGGGUUUGGCCUUUGGCCAGCCCCUUGCCUGGGCGGCUCGGGCCCCUCAUUUGUAAGAUGGGCCUAAUACCUGCUAUGACCACUGCAAUGGGUUGUUCUGAAGGUUAAAUUAAAUUCUAAAUGUGAGAAUACCCUUAAGUUGUAAAAUAUGCUAUGCCCCUUCAAGGUUUUACUAUUAUAGACAUUUCAAUGGAUAGUAUUAGAAAUAGGUUCUUGUUAAACUAAAUAUUAUCUAGCGUUUCUCUGGCACACUAUGGUUUUUAAGGAAGAAAAGAAAGGUGGGCAUUGAGUCCUAUACUUCGACAAGGGACGGGAGAUGCAGUGAACAGCAAAAGGAGCCCUCGGCAACCGCAGAUCCUCACAGUGGGCUCUCUCCAAGUGCAGGAGUCAAGUUCUCACAGCUCAGAUAGGGCUGAAGUUGGAAAAUCAGAUAGAAACACACAUAAAGAACUUAAAUAGAAUUCAGAAUUUAAGUGUCAGGUGAAAAGAGUGAGUCUUAAAAUUAGGGUAGGAAAACUAUUUGUCAUUCCUCUUUUCCUUUGAAAAGGCAGCAGAGUUACUAAGUUUCCAAGAUCUAAUUAUAGUUCUGGCCUCUGCUUCAACAUGGGGACUUGUCAACUGUAACUUAGAGUGUGUAAUUAACAGAAGUGAGAGAUUCAACACAUUUCACCCCUAAUCAUUUAUGAGGCAUCAUAAAAUACUAUAACAGCUGAUCAUGGCUAGGCUUUAGAUCAGAGGUUUAUUGACAAUUAUAUCCUCAAUUGCAUCUGACAACCCUCGAGGUAAAGCUCCCUAUUCCUACAAUAUCGAAUUCUGCUAAGAUGGAGAACACAGCAGGCAUAACUGCUUGUUCACAGGCUGUGCUGUGAGAUGUGCCAGGAGUCAAGUAGGAGUGCACAGACAGAAUCCCCAACAUGUUGUUGUUUACCUGACAACAAAACAUGAGACCUACAUAUUGUGAGCUAUCAAUCCCGGAAGGUCAUCAAUAUUCAAAAACAAAGCGACCUACUGCAGGAAGGA
rnacentral:lncRNA from 10 species